rnacentral:rRNA from 1 species
UACAGAGGGUGCGAGCGUUAAUCGGAAUUACUGGGCGUAAAGCGCACGUAGGUGGCGACGUAAGUCGGGUGUGAAAGCCCCGGGCUCAACCUGGGAAUUGCAUUCGAGACUGCAUUGCUGGAGUACGGAAGAGGAAGGCGGAAUUCCCGGUGUAGCGGUGAAAUGCGUAGAUAUCGGGAGGAACAUCAGUGGCGAAGGCGGUUCUCUGGGACGGUACUGACGCUGAGACGCGAAAGCGUGGGGAGCGAACAGG